rnacentral:rRNA from 1 species
AUACGGAGGAUGCGAGCGUUAUCCGGAUUUAUUGGGUUUAAAGGGUGCGUAGGCUGUGCGUUAAGUCAGGGGUGAAAUGCCGUCGCUCAACGACGGAGCUGCCCUUGAUACUGGCGUGCUGGAGUACGGAUGCCGUUGGAGGAAUGAGUGGUGUAGCGGUGAAAUGCUUAGAUAUCACUCAGAACACCGAUUGCGAAGGCAUCUGACGAAUCCGUCACUGACGCUGAGGCACGAAAGCGUGGGGAUAGAACAGGAUUAGAUACCCUGGUAUUCCACGCCGUAAACGAUGAUGACUAACCGUCGGCGAUAGACAGCCGGUGGCCAAGCGAAAGCGAUAAGUCAUCCACCUGGGGAGUACGUCGGCAACGAUGAAACUCAAAUGAAUCGACGGGG